AGUUUAUGGCGUUUCAUAUAGGUUUAAGAAGUACAGAACUUGCUUGGAAGCUAGGAGGUCAGAUGGAAGGAAUGAGUUGUGUUGUGCCCUUCCCCUUAGGUUGGAUCCAGGGACUGCUGCAGUAAGAAAUGCAGGUAUAUACAAAGGAGGAAAAAGUUAUCAGAAAUAUCAAAAAUCAUAUGAGGUAUCUAAGUUCUGGGUAUGAACAUGAAAUAUCCAAUUAAGACUUUUUAGCCUAAUAUUCUCUUUGCCACUGAAAAUAAAUGUGUGCUAGUAAUCUAAAAUUUGAACA
rnacentral:lncRNA from 1 species